rnacentral:lncRNA from 1 species
GGAACUGUUUGGUUACUAUGGAACUUCAGAAGAAAUUAUUUUCUUUUUUUUUUUUUUCUUAAAGGAAAGACUGUAGAAAGAAGUUGGGUCUAAGGACAGAGACAGAUUCAAAAAGGACAAAAGCACCAGAAUGUUCCUGUUUCUGGGUAGAGGAGAAGAUAAGUUGACAGAAGCAUUCCUCAUAUUCUCAUCAGCCUUGGGGAUCCUUCUGUGGAAAAUUUUGAGAGGCAUUAACCUAAGAGUAGAGGACAGACUCCCAGCCUGGUACCCAAAACUGUGAAUAAGGCAGUCUCAAUAUUCCUCUUCGAAUUUUUUUCCACUACCCUUGUGAGUGAAAUCUGAUCAUCAGCCGGCUAUCCACCCGCUCACUGGAUGUCACAUCAUCCUCUGCACAAGCCUCAACCAGCUUUCCUCCCAAGACUCUUGCUUCUUCUUUACUUGCUGCUGCUGCCGCUAAGUCGCGUCAGUCGUGUCCGAUUCUGUGCGGCCCCAUAGAUGGCAGCCCACCAGGCUCCCCCAUCCCUGGGAUUCUCCAGGUAAGAACACUGGAGUGGGUUGCCAUUUCCUUCUCCAAUGUAUGAAAGUGAAAAGUGCAAGUGAAGUUGCUCAGUCGUGUCCGACUCUUAGUGACCCCAUAGACUGUAGCCCACCAGGCUCCUCCGUCCAUGGAAUUCUC